GUAAAAGACUCUCUCUCUGCGUUUGAGAAAAAAAGCAAAGCGACGGCGAGUUGUCUGCUUCACACUAGAGCUUACGCUUCUGACACCAAGACGAAUUCCUUGUGUGGGUAAACACACUUGACCCUUUCUGAUCUUGAAUGCCUUUAUUAACCCCCUGGAGCCGUGUGGAGUAUUUUAUGAUGGAUGGACGCAGUUUAUUGGAUUUCUAUUGGACUAUUGAAUCUCAACACCCAUUCACUGCCAUUAUAAGCUUGGCAGAGCAAGGACAUUUUUUAAAUAUAACUCCGAUUGUAUAGAAGGAAGUCAUAUACACCUAGGAUAGUUUGAGGAUGAUGUUUCCAUCAGUUCCCUCAUCCAGAUCAAUGCUGCUGUUUCCAUCCAUCAGUGGAUCUCCAUUCAGAGUCCAGCUGUAGAGGAGCUGAUCCCCCUCAGAGGAGCAGAACACCCUCAUCACCCCAC